UUCGGCGGAUGGAGAGGAGAGGUAAGCCGGAAGCGUCCAUAAGGACGAUGUUGUCUCUAGUAGAGUUCAUGUAGUUGUCAACCCUAAAGACAAGGUUUCCAUUAGAGUUGUAAACUGUGAAUCCAUCGCAGUUGAAGAGAAGAGACUUCCUCCACACCGUUAAAACCACGGCUGCUUUACUAUCACACAAGCUUUCCUCGUAAGUGUUUGGGAACUUUGGGUGAACUUUUGUCAUUUUUCUUCUUGAUUCUCUGUGUUUGUCUUUUCUUAGUGUGUUUGAUGAUUCUUGUUGGAGAAGAUGAGUUGAUAUUUUGUUUGAUGAAGGGGGUUGCGUGUUUAUAUAUACAAAUGUAGAAAGAGAAUAUGGUUGCGCAAAUGAAAAGAAUGGUCUCAUCUUCUUGUAUUCCACUAGAGGUAUCAUUUUCAGUCUAUUACUAUAAGAUAUCUAGUCUUUUUAAUUUGUAUAUUAAAUUAAUUUAUUCCUUUAUAUAAUCGAAUAUUAUAGUACCGGUUUUAAUUCACCUAAACUCCAACUAAAUAUUACUAUAUAGGAACAUUGUAUUUUUAUUCCAGAUCUGGCCAAUACUGGCCCUAUAGAAUAGCUUAUGGUCUCAUAUUUAAUAUAAAUCUUACGCUAAGAGUUAGGAAAAAAUCACUCACUAACCCUAUAGUUGAGAAAUUUACAUGAGUAGUACAGUACACGACUAAUCAAAUACUGUUUGGCUAUUGUAAGUUUUAAAUAUUAUCGUUGUUUUAUUAACGUGCUAUUUUAUAAAUUUUAUUCUCUCAACUAUAUACUGAAGUUCAAGCUUCAAAAAAGAAAAAACUAUAUACUGGUGUAUACUUUUAGACUAAAAAUAAUAUUUAAUUAUUUUCCCUUACAUUUUUCUAUUAUAAAUAGGGAAUUUUUUUUUUAAUAAAUAGAGAACAUUAUUGUCUCAUGUAUAGAAAGAAAAAAAAAGAAUCGACAGCAAGGAAGUGCGGGCCAUAAUCUAAUGUCUUUCCCGUGCAUCUUUUUAUAAUGGAAAAAGGAGAAUCUGUAGAAAUAUUCUUCAUUUUCUUAUAUAUUUCUGCAGAAUUAUCGCUUUGUUCUCCAAAAUUGAACCCAAAGUAAUAUAUGAUAUACCCUAGUAGUCUAUAUCAUAAACUGAUAAUCAAUAUGUAUUCUUGAUCCAAAACCUAAUAUGGUUAAUUAUUGGCUCUUUAAAACCAAUUCUGUAUCAGAUAUCAGAUAAUGUAGUUUUAUAAAAUCAAGCUUUUGAGUUAUUACCAUGAACAUUUUGAGCCAAGGAAAACCAUAAUCUAGUGGAGCUGUGGAGGAUAAGAAUUGGUGGAAAGCAAAGUUCAGAUAUUGUAUAUAAAUUCAUAAAAACCAAUUCAAAGUUUCAAACAUGGUCAUGAAGUACACCAAAUUUUAGCAAAAGAAAAAACAUGGUCAUGAAGUAAAAUGAGUUAAUAAAUCGAGUUUUGAACCAAUCCUUGGUUUUAGUAUGAUAUGAAUAUAUGCUGAAAGGAGGACCACUGUACCAUAUCAUUGAUCAUUAUAAAUAAUUAAGCCUAAGAAGAAAGUAUGUGGCUGAGAAACGAUUAACGGUGGGAAAAGAAAAGUAAAACUAUUUCUAACAAAAUUCCACUAAAUUUUUUCUGAUUAAAACUUUGAUACUAUUAAAAUAUCCUUGUUAUAUUUUUUCACGGCCGUUGGUAAUAAUGAAUGUUCCACUUACGUUGACCUCUCAUAUUUAUAUUCCUUUUCGUUAUCUAUCGUUUGUUUACAGAAAGUGAUUACGACCUUUGAGAGACGCGUCCCACUUUCACCAAAAAAAAAUUGGACUGAAAAUUACGUGCUGCACUUUGAAGAAUAUGUUCUCUUGCUCUCUCUUUAUUGCACUGCAGAUGUAGUACAGCCUAAUUGUUCUUCCUACAAAAUCAGAUUCCUCACUCUAUAUAGUCUGUACCAUCUCAUUAUUCUCUCAUCGUAGCUACCUUUACCGUGUGUUUACAUGCUCAUUUUGCAUUUUACCUCGUACGUCAUCAUAAAAUGGGUAUUACGUGAAUGUCGCUUUUUAAAGUAAAUCCUUAGCUAAACUUUCGGUUUCAGUGGAUGAAUCCAUUUACCUAUGCACUGCAAAUGACUGGUAUAUUUUUAGAGUUGUUAAGGUACUUAUAAGAUCCGCUUAAGCUAGAUGGAACUCAACAUAAUAUAUCAUAGCUCAGAGUUCGAUUUUCUUUAUAGUUGUGUCAGCCUGUUCUUAGAAUCUCCAAUAAAAUACUAAAUAUAAAUAAUUUAACAUGAGACCACCAAAAAUAAAACUACAACACACCUAUGCGACUUUCAUACCAACAAAGGGAUCAGCUCACAAAAUGAACAUUUUCCUUCAGAAAGGUUCAAGAAUCAAAACCUUAAACAUAAUCUUUAAACAAAAACUGCAACCCAAAUAUUAAAGACAAAAUCUUCCAAUCAGAAAUUAAAAAAAAUAUUAAUUUAGUAUAUAAAAUAUACGAAUCAAUCCAUUGUUCACCAAUUAUUUUUAGAUUGUAAGCUCAUCUAAUUUAUUGCAAUAAAUCGUAUGAUGUUGAUGGUCUAAAUUUAAAAAAAAAAUCAAGUUGAGUUUUUUUUUGCCGUGGCUUUGUGAAGUAGUCGUGUGUCUUUAUAAUUAGUAGAAUGGCCAUCUUACUGAAGAAUGGUCAUUUAGUGAACCAAUAUAGACAACGUGGUAGAAUGACUAAUAAUUUGAAUAAAUUAGGUGAUGACCAUUUAGUAUACAACUUUAAUGAAAAAGACCAUUUAGUUGAACAAUAUAAAUGCAUAUCUAUCAUCAUCAUCAUCCUCAGCCUUAACCUAUCUUUCUCUCUUUUUCUUUCCCAUGCAUUCGGAAACACGUAAAUCCUCUCAUUAUAUAUAUUAUUUGGGCUUGUAUCUCCUCACUAAAUUUGAUUCAGUCUCAAAAUCGUAUGAAGUAAAGAUAUAUGCAAGUGUUUAUAUCAACAAAAAUGACAUUCCAUGAUUCAAACUCUGUUUUUUUUGUGGUAUAAUAGCAGUGUAAAUCACUUAUUCACUUAGUGAGUAAUUUAACUUCGUUAUUAAAAAUGAUUUCAACUCAAAAUGAUAUCAUUUUUUUUUCUGAGCUGCCUAUAUAUUAAAACCAAGUUCUGACCGGAACAGAAGUUAUUCCAAAGAACAAUUUCAACCGACCAUGUCUGGUUUACAUGGGAAAAUAAAACGCUCAAACAUAUAUAAUGAUAGUAUUAUUCAUUUCAAAGCUUUAUUAUUCACGGAGAAAACUAACAAUUUGUACUAUUUUUUGAUGGCUCCAUUAACUUUAAUUAGUAGUGUUGCACAUUAUCUUGAAAUUAUAUAUGUGAUUAAGUGAAUGCUUAGUAGGAAAAUUAUAUAAUUAGUUUUGCAUCACGAAGAUAAUGAUUUUUAUCACUUUCUCAACUGUGUAAAGUGUAAACCGCUGCACUGAGAAAUAGAUAAAAAUUCUCAUCACUUUCUAUUAAGUCAAAAGCAAGAAAAAAAACUGACACAUGACACAAUGGGAAAAUAACAGGAGGAAAAGAAUGGCACACCUUGUUGGGUUUGUUAAAGCUCCAUGUCCAACUCUUUAUUAUCCGAUUAGUAGGAUAUUGUCCAUUUUGGGCCUUAAAAGCUAGCCCGCAUGGAUUUACUUUUGGUUUCUUUUCCAAAAGGCCUCGUACUAAUUAGAGUUGGACAUCUCUUUAUAUAUUAGACACUACUUGUCUAAUUCUCCAAUGUGGGACUUAGUUUGUUAUAUCAUAUUCUCCCCUUCAAACUAAGGAUCACAUUCAUCUCGUGUCCCACAACUGACUUCCAGAAUCUUUUGACUUAAUUUCUGCCACACACUUCUCAUUCCUAACUCAUAGGAUACCAUUCAUGUCUCAAAGGGUAUUUUGGUCUUCUUGCAGAUUUCUCGUCAACUGCUCUGAUACCAAUUGUUGGGUUUGUUAAAGCUCCAUGUCCAACUCUUUAUUAUCCGAUUAGUACGAUAUUGUCCACUUUGGACCUUAGAGGCUAGCCCGCAUGAAUUUACUUUUGGUUUCCUUUCCAAAAGGCCUCGUACUAAUUAGAGUUGGACAUAUCUUUAUAUAUUAGACACUCCUUAUCUAAUUCUCCAAUGUGAGACUUAGUUUGUUAUAUCACACAUCUCUAUGCCAAAAAUCAUAUACAACAUCAAAGUUCCUUCACAUACUCUUUUAUAUUAAUCAAAGCUGAUUUUAAAUCAUCUUGAUCACGUCUCUUAGAAAUCAAUUUGCUAUCAGUUUUAAAAACCCGCUUCUGCUUGCACUCUUCCUUUCAGCAUUUCUCACUGCAAUGCAUUCGAGUUUAUGUACCCCCCAAAAAUGAGAUGUCUGCUCAACCACCAACUCUAAUUCUUUUCUCUGCGUCCGUGACCUGCUUCUAAAGCAUUGGCCUCGUGUAGAUUUUUUACUUUCUUAUCAAGGGUUCACGUUACAGUCUCUCACGAACCGAUCUUCUCGAUUCAGAUGGUUUCUCCAAUAGCUGAAAUGUGGUUCUUCCUACAAAAUCAGAUUCCUCACUCUAUAUAGUCUAUACCAUCUCAAUAUUUUCUCAUCGUCCCAGCUCUAGUCACGGCUUCAUGUUCCCAUUGUAGUGAAAUGUGGCUGCUUUCAUAAACCAGAAUCUUCUGGACUGUAGCAGAAGCUGAAGAACACCAUGAACCCUAGAAUGAUUAAUCAUCUCUUUUCUCUCAAGUCCUAUUUCUCUACUCAGACACAUAUUUCAUUGUCGGAUAUUGUUUACUCUCUAUUUCUCACAUGUGCAACUGCAAAGUGCUUUUUUUUUUUGCUAAAAAACUGCAAAGUGCUUAUUACCCUCCUCGUUGAAGUAUCUUUACAUGUUGUAUUCGGAUUCAUCUCUUAUAAGUUGCCUAUGGAUCCUCAUAACAGAGGUCCAAGUCUUCAUGUCUGUUCCUAGCUAGUUUAAAUUUGUUAGCAGUUAACUUAAUUAUAAAUCAUUACUUCAAGUACAUAACCAUAAUUAUAUAUAUAACAAAACCAGUGUAGAAACUUAUCACGUGCAUAAAACGUUUGUCAUAAAGAAGUUUCAACUUAUCUCUCUGUUUUUUUUCUUGAUAACUCAACAAUCAAACUCAUGAUCAUCAGUCAUCACUUUUGUCACGUGCAAAAAAAUACAAGUUAUCAUGCAGUGUUCAAAAUGUUCUUAUAGCAACGGUUUAUGUUGAUUUAGUCUCACCGAUUUGGUCGGUUGAACCGUUCUAAAUAGCUUUAUGAUUUGCUAGAAAAGAGAACUUUCAUAACCAACAGUUGUUAAAUAUACUUAUCACCCUCAACCACGCCUCCUUUUUGUGAACCAUCCAUACAAAAUACACCGUUAAUCGACUUCAUUUAUAUAUAGUAUCAAGGCUAAAAUCAAAAACUGAAAACAAAAGUUGUUUCUGUUCAUGUGUAACCUAUAUAAGAACACACAUGCAUAAACUACAUAACAAAAAGGGAACUAAUAUAUACUUACAAAAGCUUGAAAAAUCAAUAAGAUCUAAACAUUUGGUCCAGAAUGAUGGUCAAUGCCAUGGCCACGCGAGGCUCCAUAUCCGAUUCAACUAUAAGUUUAAACACAUCUUUGCCAAAGGAACCUCCUCCAACCAUUGCAUCUUUCCUCUUGAUCUCUGCCGUUUUCUUCUUGUUCCUCACGUCUACUAUUUUGCAGCUUUUCUGACCAUAUGAUCCUUCAACCUCGUAUAGUAUUGUCUUCUUCGCGCUAACCCACGCCAAGCUCCUCUUGUUUGUUAGUAUGCUAACGUUUUUCUUUGCUGUAAAUAUUGGGUCUCUUUGUGUUUCUCCAUCAUAUACCGCCCAGCAAUCUCCCAAGCUCAACUUCUGAUCGAAUAAAAGAAGAAAAGAAAUUCAAGAUUAGUUUCAUUAUAAGGAUUCAACACUAACGAUAAAUUGGCCUAGUGGCUAAAACACUUGGAUUAUAAAAAGUACCUUGCGGCGGAUGGAGAGGAGAGGUAAUCCUGAAGCGUCCAUAAGGACGAUGUUGUCUUUAGGAGAGUUCAUGUAGUUGUCAACCCUAAAGACAAGGUUUCCAUUAGAGUUGUAAACUGUGAAUCCAUCGCAGUUGAAGAGAAGAGACUUCCUCCACACCGUUAAAACCACGGCUGCUUUACUAUCACACAAGCUUUCCUCGUAAGUGUUUGGGAACUUUGGGUGAACUUUUGUCAUUUUCUUUCUUGAUUCUCUGUGUUUAUGUCUUUUCUUUGUGUGUGUUUGAUGAUUGUUGUUGGAGAAGAUGAGUUGAUAUUUGUUUGAUGAAGGUGGUUGCGUGUUUAUAUAUACAAAUGUAGAAAGAGAGAAUGUGGUGCUCAAAUGAAAAGAAUGGUCUCAUCUUCUUGUAUUCCACUAGAGGUAUCGUUUUCAGUCUAUUACUA
rnacentral:lncRNA from 1 species